AUUGAACGCUGGCGGCAUGCCUUACACAUGCAAGUCGAACGGCAGCACGGGGGCAACCCUGGUGGCGAGUGGCGAACGGGUGAGUAAUACAUCGGAACGUGCCCAGUAGUGGGGGAUAGCCCGGCGAAAGCCGGAUUAAUACCGCAUACGACCUACGGGUGAAAGCGGGGGAUCGCAAGACCUCGCGCUAUCGGAGCGGCCGAUGUCAGAUUAGGUUGUUGGUGGGGUAAAAGCCCACCAAGCCGACGAUCUGUAGCUGGUCUGAGAGGACGACCAGCCACACUGGGACUGAGACACGGCCCAGACUCCUACGGGAGGCAGCAGGUGGGGAAUUUUUGGACAAGUGGGCGCAAGCCUGAUCCAGCCAUGCCGCGUGCGGGAAGAAGGCCU
rnacentral:rRNA from 1 species